rnacentral:rRNA from 1 species
GACGAACGCUGGCGGCGUGCCUAACACAUGCAAGUCAACUUGACUGAAGGAGCAAUCUGACAGUAGAGUGGCGCAAGGGUGCGUAACGCGUAAGUAACUUGCCCCAAGGUAAGGAAUAACGUCGAGAAAUCGGCGCUAAUACCUCAUAAUGCAGCGGAUCCGCAUGGAUAUGUUGUUAAAGGUUUACCGCCUUGGGAUAGGCUUGCGUCUGAUUAGCUAGUUGGUGUGGUAACGGCACACCAAGGCUACGAUCAGUAACUGGUCUGAGAGGAUGAUCAGUCACACUGGAACUGAGACACGGUCCAGACUCCUACGGGAGGCAGCAGUGAGGAAUAUUGGGCAAUGCUCGAAGAGUGACCCAGCAACGCCGCGUGGA